AGAAUACAUCCAGACCAUAAUGAUGCUGGAGGAAUCUGUUCAACACGUUGUCAUGACAGCCAUUCAAGAGUUGAUGAGCAAAGAGUGCCCUGUAAUGGGAGGAAACGACUCGUACGCUGAUAUCGAUAGACAGCUGAAGAAGACGGUGGAGGAUUUGAACGAGGCUCUAGCCACCAAGGAGGAGAUCGCACAGAGAUGUCACGAGCUGGACAUGCAGGU